GGUUUAAAAGCUAUUAGCAUUGGUAUUGUAAACCAAAGAUUUGAGGACUCCUCUUAAACCU
rnacentral:tRNA from 1 species